rnacentral:rRNA from 1 species
GACGAACGCUGGCGGCGUGCUUAACACAUGCAAGUCGAACGGUGAAGCACCAUCAUUUUUGGCGGGUGUGGAUGAGUGGCGAACGGGUGGGUAACACGUGAGGAACCUGCCUCCUUCUUCUGGAUAACCGCAUGAAAGUGUCGCUAAUACGGCAUAUUCUCUGUCUGUCGCAUGAUGGGUCCUUGAAAGAUUUUGCUUCGGAGUGGGCUGGGCUCGCGGCCUAUCAGCUUGUUGGUGGGGUGAUGGCCUACCAAGGCGGUGAGGGGUAGCCGGCCUGAGAGGGUGGACGGUCACACUGGGACGGAGACACGGACAAGACUCCUACGGGAGGCAGCAGUGGGGAAUAUUGCACAGUGGGCGCAAGCCUGAUGCAGCGACGCCGCGGGAGGGAUGGAGGCCUUCGGGUUGUGAACCUCUGUCGCCAGUGAAGCAGGCCUGCCUCGUUUGUCGGUGGGUUGACGGUAGCUGGAGAAGAAGCGCCGGCUAACUACGUG